CUCAGAAUGGUAAACUUUAACCAGCCAAACUGGCAUUUCCAGGGGUUGGGGGUCCGGGAGCAACUGUGGGAGACUUUUCCCCCUUAGCUCAACUCUUCAGUCUGCUUUUGAUUCAUGGGAAAAGGAAAAAGGCUUUGCUCCUUUUCUCCGAUGUAGGAACUAAGUUUUACUGAGAACCAAUUGCCUAUUGAGCAUGAGAGUAUUUUACCACACAAAUCAGUUCAGCGUGGAUGAAACAUUUCUUGAGAUUUUUUCAGAGGCCACCAAAUUAACCUACUUUUUGUCUAAAAAUGGCCUCUCCACCAUCUUCUACAGUACUUACAGUUCAAGAUUGUCUUUCCAGAAGCUUUAAGAUUUGUUCUCUUGCUCCAAAAACUGAUUGUGUCCUGUGAGGGUGGGAUGCUUUGAGCUGCUCCAGCCAUUUAGUGACCUGAAGAAAGACAUCACUGAAAUGCUGAAGAUUACGAAGCUGAAAGUGAGGAAGAUAAUUCAAUGACAUUAUUGAGCAGCAGAAUUACCCCUGGAACCAACUAACUGCAGAUGUUUUGUUAUGUGAAAUUAAUGAGCCUCUAUUAUUUGUUUAAGACACUUUUAUAUAAGUGUUCAUAUACACAGAGCCUAAGACACACUUCCUUAUACAAGGGUCUAAAAUGUGUAAAUGGCAUUGCUUUGAGGGCAUGGAUCCUUCCAGGCCUAGCUUCCUAGUUGAUAGAAUGACUAAUUCCCUGUGAUAUAGAUGAUACAUGGUCAUCUGCCUCCUCCUAGCACUAUUUAGGCAAAUUGCUAAAAUAGAUGAGUUAUUGUACUAUCUUUCUAACAUUACUCAAUGCCCUCUCCUCAGCUGAGUUAUCCAUUAAGAAGACUAGGAACAUGGCUAGGGUAUAAUAAGCAAAGAAAAUUCAGAAAACAUGAUAAGAAGUUUAGCUUUGAUAAAUACUCUGAAUUUUAUAAUCAGGAAAUCUAAAAAUAAAUUAAUUUAAUAUUACAUUAUGUAAGGUCUAUUAAUAUCCUAUUAAUAUCACAUAUAAUAUUAAUACCAUAUAUAAAGUUCUGUGAUUUUCAUUAAAAUAUUAUUUUAAAUUUGAGUAACUGUGGUAGAGAUUGCUCAUGCACAUUCUCAUCUGGUUUUGCUCUCUAUCCUGGGCCAAUGCAAGAUGAACACAAUCUAUCUGUCUAUGUACACAAUCUAAGAUCUAUCACAAGCCAUUGCUGAUAGAACUGUUGGCUAAUCCUGGCCAAUGAAAUGUGAGGGGAAAGAAUGCAGAAUUUCAGAAUUGCUAUGGACUCGUGACUACUGUGAAUUUCCUACUCCUUCUCUUUCCAAGUGGGAAUGUUUAUUGUAUUUUCCUGCUCCUUCUCUGCCAAUGUGUGUUGCAAGAAUGGGUGGCAAGAUAAACUCAUCUCUUUAGUUCCUAGUUCAUCUAACCAAGACAUGACACUUCUGGACAUGAUGGAGGAAAUUAUUCUUAUCACCUGGAGACCAUGCACCGUGUAAAGGAUGUAAUUCCUGGAUGUGACGUUGACUUUUCUUCCUAAGGAAGUGAUUGUGUUCUUCAUAGAGACACAAUAAUAAACCAAUUAUUUGUGAUCAAAAAGGCAGACCGCAGUGGAGAUUAUCUGCGCUUAUCCAUACCCUUUUCUCCUUUCCUUCCUGGGAAGAUGAGAAUUCCAGUCACCUUGAAGUUAUUAGGAUCAUAAACUAGUUCUAGCCAAUGAGAAAGAAGAGAAAGUGCUAUAAAAUUUCUUCUAUGUCAAAAUAUUGUAAAGUCAGUUUGCCACCUUUAUGGUCUUGUCAUCUCCUUUGGCAAUAAAUAAGAAGGUCAUAUUUUAAGAGAGUGGCCUACAAGAUAAAGGAAACCUUCCAAAUAAAUGGAGAAUAAUGUCUCCUACCUGCAUUAGACUUUAAAUGAUUUUAUGGUUCUAAAUCACUGAGCCUUUGGGAGUUUGUUAUUAAAGCAGAACUUAACACAUUCUGACUAAUAACAUAAGAAGAAAGGAGGAACCAAUACCUCUCCAUACUUAGGUCAUUAAUACCCUCCUCCUAGGCACACUGUCUCUUGAUUGCCCUAAGACAACUAUGCAUGCAACCCCCCAGGCCCACUGCCUUUGACCAUCUGACUACACCCAGAAUCUAGUCCCUUUUCAUUAACCAUCAAAACUUCUUCCUCCUGUCUAUAGUCUUGCACACUAUAUACAGAAGAAUUUACACUUAAAUAUUACCAUUUUGAUAGCAAUCUCAGACAGAAGUUCUCAAGGGAGGAAAUGCUCUUUUCAUUUUGCUUACUUGAUUCCCUUUCCUGAGUAUCUAUAUAUAAAUCAGUGCCUACAGGAAUGCUUUUUCUUGGAAUCGUAACAAAAAUGACAAUAGGAUUU